rnacentral:rRNA from 1 species
AUUGAACGCUGGCGGCAGGCUUAACACAUGCAAGUCGAGCGGAGUGAUGGUGCUUGCACUAUCACUUAGCGGCGGACGGGUGAGUAAUGCUUAGGAAUCUGCCUAUUAGUGGGGGACAACAUCUCGAAAGGGAUGCUAAUACCGCAUACGUCCUACGGGAGAAAGCAGGGGAUCACUUGUGACCUUGCGCUAAUAGAUGAGCCUAAGUCGGAUUAGCUAGUUGGUGGGGUAAAGGCCUACCAAGGCGACGAUCUGUAGCGGGUCUGAGAGGAUGAUCCGCCACACUGGGACUGAGACACGGCCCAGACUCCUACGGGAGGCAGCAGUGGGGAAUAUUGGACAAUGGGGGGAACCCUGAUCCAGCCAUGCCGCGUGUGUGAAGAAGGCCUUAUGGUUGUAAAGCACUUUAAGCGAGGAGGAGGCUCUUUUGGUUAAUACCCAAGAUGAGUGGACGUUACUCGCAGAAUAAGCACCGGCUAGCUCUGUGCCAGCCGCCGCCGUAAUAC